CCUACGGGAGGCAGCAGUGGGGAAUAUUGGGCAAUGGGCGCAAGCCUGACCCAGCAACGCCGCGUGAAGGAAGAAGGCUCUCUGGUUGUCAACUUCUUUUCUUAGGGGCGUAGCAAGUGACGGUACCUGAGGAAUAAGCCACCGCUAACUACGUGCCAGCAGCCGCUGUAAUACGUGGGUGGCAAGCGUUAUCCGGAUUUACUGGGUGUAAAGGGAGUGUAGGCGGGAAAGCAAGUCAGAUGUGAAAACCAUGGGCUCAACCUGUGGCCUGCAUUUGAAACUGGUUGUCUUGAGUACUGGAGAGGUAGACGGAAUUCGUGGUGUAGCGGUGAAAUGCUUAGAUAUUAGGAGGAACACCAGUGGCGAAGGCGGUCUGCUGGACAGCAACUGACGCUGAGGCGCGAAAGUGUGGGGAGCAAACAGGAUUAGAUACCCUAGUAGUC
rnacentral:rRNA from 1 species